rnacentral:rRNA from 1 species
CUGGCUCAGAACGAACGCUGGCGGCGCGUUUAAGCAUGCAAGUCGAGCGGCAAGGGCCUUCGGGCCCUAGAGCGGCGGACGGGUGAGUAACACGUGGAUAAUCUGCCCCCCGGCCCGGGAUAGCCCAGGGAAACCUGGAUUAAUACCGGAUGAGACGGGACCCGCGAAGGCGGGACCCGGAAAGGCGCUGCGGCGCCGCCGGGGGAUGAGUCUGCGUCCCAUUAGCUAGACGGCGGGGUAACGGCCCACCGUGGCGACGAUGGGUAGCCGGCCUGAGAGGGUGGACGGCCACAUUGGAACUGAGACACGGUCCAGACUCCUACGGGAGGCAGCAGCUAAGAAUCUUCCGCAAUGGGCGAAAGCCUGGAACCGGGGCGACGCCGCGUGAACGAAGAAGGCCGUGAGGUUGUAAAGUUCUUUUCGGGAGGGGGAACAACCGUGGCAGGGAAUGGCCGCGGGAUGACGUGAAUCCCGGAAUAAGCCCCGGCUAACUACGUGCCAGCCGCCGC